UACGUAGGGUGCAAGCGUUUGUCCGGAAUUAUUGGGCGUAAAGAGCUCGUAGGCGGCUUGUCGCGUCGAAUGUGAAAACCCACGGCUCAACUGUGGGCUUGCAUUCGAUACGGGCAGGCUAGAGUUCGGUAGGGGAGACUGGAAUUCCUGGUGUAGCGGUGAAAUGCGCAGAUAUCAGGAGGAACACCGGUGGCGAAGGCGGGUCUCUGGGCCGAUACUGACGCUGAGGAGCGAAAGCGUGGGGAGCGAACAGG
rnacentral:rRNA from 1 species